ensembl:lncRNA
UCACUUCAUCCCAUAGACAGCCGUUUCCACAGCAAGACUCACAGAGGACCUUCAUCCUGCACAGCUCUUGUCUUCAGCAUCUCCUCAGGGCCUGAAAUGAGGCCCUCAUUCUAAGAUGCGUAAUGCCUGCUGCUGAGCCUUUCGAGCACACCCUGGCUGUAGGUGGAUGACUCCAUGCUGGAAGGUGAAGCCUGGAGUGCAGCUAAUGCUACCUCACAGCACUCUGAUCUACUGAAUGUCUCCCACUCAGAGACUGAAUUAGCUUUGUUUUGUGUCAGCCCCUCCAGGAACUGCAACAGAAAGUAGGAUGGCCACAACUGUAGUUACAUACAGGGGGCUUUCUGCCAGCUGAGAUCUCCACACUGCAAAUUGCAGCUUACCAGGAAGAGCUUGCUCCUACAUCUUAAUAAACAAACAAAAACAUUCCCUUAAGCAUGUCCUGCUAUAAACAAGCAAAGCAAGCAGCUGGUCCUCAUUUGAAAAGAUGUUACAUCAAUUUCAAAAGAAAUCUGCAGAUCUUCUUAAUGCAAAUAUUUUUGGGAAAACAAAAAGCAGCUGUUUAUGUUGCUUUAUACCUAUUAGCAGGAAAACACAAUCCAGGAUGCUUGUAUUUCUUCUUGUAAGAAAAACAUCCUCUUGGCAUCAACAUUCAUUCGGAUCUCAAAUUGUUUAAAAUAUACUAGGCUGCAUCAAUCUGCUUUUGCUCUGUCUUCAGCAGGCAGCUAGAAACCUUUUUUGUUCAUUAACUGUAAGACCUAAAAGCAAAACAGUCACCGAGGAGUUUGCACGAGUUCUGUAACAAAAGUUGUGACGUUUAGAAUAUGUGUUUUCAAGUUUAUCUGCUCUGUCCUCCCAGACCCUGCUGCAAGGAAAAUGUGCACGUUAGAUGUGUGCAACCCUGUAAGAGGAAGGAAUAAUCUACUGAGUAAUGAAGGCGGCCUUUUCUUAAUUACUGCUGGUAGGGACCUCUGAAGGAAUGUAAGGACUGAAGGAUGUGGGGACUGGAAAAUAGAAUGCGUUUGGAUUGCUGCAUGUUACAAUGUGGCGUCAGGGAGGUUAGGCUGAACAGUACUGGCGAAGAAUUGAAUUUGGAGACUCUAGAGCAGGAAAUGCCUUUUGAGGUCAUGUGGCCUUUCUACUAGACAUUAUUUCCCAUCCUAGGGUUUAUUUGGUAGUGUUUUUUUCAUGUGCUUUUGUUUGUAAAGUAACAUAGCUCCUUUUUUUUUCCCUGAGGUUAUCAUUCUUCUGCUUUCCACUCUUUGCCUCCCAGAACCAACCAAACGCAGGCCAAGGCUAACUUAGAAAAAUGGGUGACAGCAACAGCCAUCAACAAAUAGGACAGUUUGUGUUUGAUAAUUCAUGUGAUAGCUGUUACAUGGGGAUGUGGUCAUGUGUUGUGCAAGCUGAACUCCAACAGUUCCACUUCGUGCUGCAGGGCAGCUCGUGCUAACACGUCACAUCCCUGGAAAUCAGCUUGUUGCCUUGAACCUGAAAGUUGCAGCUGUUUUGCCCUGUGUUGUUAAGUGAAGUGAGCACAGCCCGAGUUGUCAUCUCUUGGAAGGUUCUGCUUGGUAUCUGAGAGCUACUAAAAUUCACAGCUGAACCAAAAACAUCUGUGAUAAUGUCUUAGUGGAAAGUCAGAGCUUGGCCUUGGCUAUCUCCUGGCGGGCGGAUGUACCACAAAACGUCACCUCCCAGGAAAAAAUGAAGCAGUUCCCUUGAGAAUACAUAAGUUCUAUUACAAGUGCACACAGGCCGUGGUUUCACACCAUUGCAUCAGAGCAGGAAGCAAUGCAUGACUCCACUUGACAGCACUGCCAGUUUCUACAGCAAAUGAAGGAAAGCAAACAGAACAAGAGCUGGGCUUUUGGCUCACCACGGCCAAGCCCGCAAUGCAGGAGCCAGGGAGCACCAGCAGAGGGUUCCAGGGAUCCUGGCACCAAAGCUCUUGUGAAGCACAGCCCAAAAGAUUGCUCCCAAAAAGCUGCAAAGGAGAGCUGUGCCACUAUUGACUCAUACAUGCUCUGCCAUGGCUGCACAGGAAGGACAGUCAGAAACAGGGGCUGGUUUUACCUGAGAUCAUUGAAAGGCAAGUUAGUAUUUCAGGAAUAGAUUCCUUCCUAGGACAGUCAGAGGAAAGCAG